rnacentral:rRNA from 1 species
CCUACGGGUGGCACCAGUGGGGAAUAUUGGACAAUUGGCGCAAGCCUGAUCCAGCCAUGCCGCGUGAGUGAUGAAGGCCUUAGGGUUGUAAAGCUCUUUCACCUGGGAAGAUAAUGACGGUACCAGGAGAAGAAGCCCCGGCUAACUUCGUGCCAGCAGUCGCGGUAAUACGAAGGGGUCUAGCGUUGUUCGGAAUCACUGGGCGUAAAGCGCACGUAGGCGGAUUGAUAAGUCAGGGGUGAAAUCCCGGGGCUCAACCUCGGAACUGCCCUUGAUACUGUUAGUCUUGAGUUCGGGAGAGGUGAGUGGAACUCCGAGUGUAGAGGUGAAAUUCGUAGAUAUUCGGAAGAACACCAGUGGCGAAGGCGGCUCACUGGCCCGAUACUGACGCUGAGGUGCGAAAGCGUGGGGAGCAAACAGGAUUAGAUACCCCCGUAGUC